rnacentral:lncRNA from 1 species
GUGAAGUGAACCAUACAGUGAUAUAUAGAAUUAGGCUAGAAUACUAUUAAUAAGAGUUCAGCUAUUAUAAUUUUAUGAGUAUAGAUCUUUCUAUACUCAUAAGUUUUCGAUCGUUAGAUCUACUCCUUUGACCAUUUCCAUCUAUUAGAUCAUACUAUUCAACCAACCAACCAGUCAACCCUAGGAGGAACCACUAUUAGCCUAACAAAAAUCAUUAUUAUCCUAACCGCACAUUUCUUAAUUUAACGGUCAAAAAUCUAUGACUACAAAAGAGUCUAUACUUAUAAGAGUGUAGUAGUCCUGGCCCUAUGAAUAGUAUUUGGGCUCUUUGUUAUCAAAUCUUAAACUUUUCGACGAAAAAUUACAGGGUUAAGAUAAUAGUGAUCCCCCAAGGUUUGGAAUUAAAUAGGUGGUUGGUCGAAUAGUAUAAUUUAAAAAAUAAAAUUGAUUAAAGUAUAGAUCUAACAGCUAAGCGCUCAAAUAUUAUUAAUAGUAUUCCAGCUCAACUUAGUGAUGUAUGUAUAUUAAUAAUUAAAAUAAAUGAAAUAUUAAGGGAUUACCAAAAUUUGUCUUUUAAUUUUUAUUGUUUGGG